CGUCUAUUCGUGACCCGGUCGCAUGCUUUUGUUGUCAUCUUGGUUCGGAAGUGUCGAACACAAUCGAGUGCAGCCUGGUGCAGCCGAGUGCGCGCCUUCAAGUCACGGAUAGAGUGUAGACUGAUGUAGGCGGAGUGCGAUGUGUGCAUCUUGUGUGUGAGGUGGGCAAUCUGCUUCGGACUCGGAAUCGCAGCAUAGUGCUGUCAUUUUCUGGUGCUGUCCAUGAACAUAGAAAUAUAUUGGCUACCGUCUUUUUUCUGUUUUCUCCGGCAAGACAUUACACGUCCUAACCUCAAACGACAUCGCUUUAAUUAUUUGAAACGAAACUGCAUCAGUAAUUUGUAAUCGCAAGUUUCACAUUUCACACAUCUCAAAAUGUCUUACAUGCUAUCGCAUUUGGAAAACGGUUAUCAAGUCGAUCAAGCCAUUUUAUCGGAAGAAGACAGAGUAGUGGUAAUUCGCUUUGGGCAUGAUUGGGAUCCAAUGUGUAUGAAAAUGGAUGAAGUUCUCUAUAAUAUUGCAGAAAAAGUUAAAAACUUUGCCGUUAUUUACUUGGUGGACAUCACAAAAGUACCAGAUUUCAAUAAAAUGUAUGAACUUUACGACCCAUGUACGGUAAUGUUCUUCUUUAGGAACAAACAUAUCAUGAUAGAUUUAGGUACCGGCAACAACAACAAAAUAAAUUGGACAUUGGAAGACAAACAGGAAAUGAUCGACAUCAUUGAAACGGUUUACAGAGGUGCAAGAAAAGGUCGAGGUUUAGUUGUCUCUCCUAAAGAUUACUCUACUAAAUAUCGAUAUUAAUUUACUUAUAAAAUAUAUGAAUGCUUUUGUAUAUUGCGAAGAUAGAUAUUAAUGCUAUAUUUGUUUCAAGGCAAGACGUUACAUAUGAAAUCAGAUGAACAAUCCUCCAAUUUUGAGUGGACAAUAUGCACUAGGUAUUCUCGUAUACUGGCUCAACUGGUGGUGGUUUGUCUACGAAAAUGCAAGAAUAAUAUGAGUUUUUCUAUGGAGAAGUACAUACCGAAUGUAACAAUGUACAAUAAGGAUACUUACAAGUUUUUAAGAAAUAAGGGUUUUUGAGUACUUGUUUUAUACAAUUAUAUAUAUAAGCGUAUUGACUCUGAAAACAAAAAUCUUUCUUUUACAUACAAAUUUAUAGAAAUAUAUAUAUGUAUAUAACAUCUCUAAAUUGAAAAAAGUAGAUAUGUAAUGUCUAUGAAAUGUGUAAUCCAUUUUUUUUAGUAGAAAUGUCGAUUUUUAGCAAUUUCUUAAGUUUUAACAUUAUUAUUUUAAUCAAAAUAAAAUUCUAUAAUCUAA